GUAGGUGGCAAGCGUUGUCCGGAAUUAUUGGGCGUAAAGCGCGCGCAGGGCGGUCCUUUAAGUCUGAUGUGAAAGCCCACGGCUCAACCGUGGAGGGUCAUUGGAAACUGGGGGACUUGAGUACAGAAGAGGAAAGCGGAAUUCAAAGUGUAGCGGUGAAAUGCGUAGAGAUUUGGAGGAACACCAGUGGCGAAGGCGGCUUUCUGGUCUGUAACUGACGCUGAGGCGCGAAAGCGUGGGGAGCAAACAGGAUUAGAUACCCUGGUAGUCCACGCCGUAAACGAUGAGUGCUAAGUGUUAGGGGGUUUCCGCCCCUUAGUGCUGCAGCUAACGCAUUAAGCACUCCGCCUGGGGAGUACGGCCGCAAGGCUG
rnacentral:rRNA from 1 species